AUACGUAGGGGGCUAGCGUUAUCCGGAAUUACUGGGCGUAAAGGGUGCGUAGGUGGUUUCUUAAGUCAGAGGUGAAAGGCUACGGCUCAACCGUAGUAAGCCUUUGAAACUGAGAAACUUGAGUGCAGGAGAGGAGAGUAGAAUUCCUAGUGUAGCGGUGAAAUGCGUAGAUAUUAGGAGGAACACCAGUGGCGAAGGCGGCUUUCUGGACUGUAACUGACACUGAGGCACGAAAGCGGUG
rnacentral:rRNA from 1 species